UACCAGCACCCCGAGUGGUCGGGACGUUUUUAUUGGGCCUAAAGCAUCCGUAGCCGGUUCUACAAGUCUUCCGUUAAAUCCACCUGCUUAACAGAUGGGCUGCGGAAGAUACUAUAGAGCUAGGAGGCGGGAGAGGCAAGCGGUACUCGAUGGGUAGGGGUAAAAUCCGUUGAUCCAUUGAAGACCACCAGUGGCGAAGGCGGCUUGCCAGAACGCGCUCGACGGUGAGGGAUGAAAGCUGGGGGAGCAAACCGGG
rnacentral:rRNA from 1 species